CGGAAGUCGGAAGCUUAACAGACUGAGCCCCCCAGGCGCCCCUCUGUCUCCCUUUCUUGGCUCCCCUUUCUCACCGAGGCUAGAUUUGUAGGAAGCUGUCCUCCGCGUGCAGGCUGCUGGCGGCUGUGGUCAGUGCAGAGACGCUGUAGUUACAGAGUUAUGGUGAACCUCAGGCCUGAGCCUUGUGGGCUCCUGUUCCCUUCUCUGAAGUGAUCUCUACAGCCUGGGGACCACAUCCCGGUUGGUCAGGCCUGGAGUGGGGGCAUGGGGUCAGCCCCACUGAAGCAUAAGGCCUCCAAGUGGUAGCGGAGUGGGUCCCUAAAGGAUUUUGGGGUGCUGUAACCAAAAGAAGGCGCAUGGAUGCUGGGUGGGAAAUACAGAAAAAACCCACUUGUAUGGUGAACACAGACAUGUGAAAAAAAAGUCUGUUGGGGAAAAGCCUGGCAGGAAAUAAAGCAAAUUGCCCAGAAGAUAUUCUUUUUUUUUUUUUUUUUAAGUUUAUUUUCAGAUUUUGAGAUUUUGAGAGAGAGAGAGAGAGAGAGAGAGAGUGUGAGUGAGCUCACGAUCUUGUGUGUGUGUGAGUAGGGGAGGGGCAGAGAGAGAGGGAGAGAGAGAAAAUCCCAAGCAGGCUCUGCAUUGUCAGAACAAAGCCUGACCCGGAGCUGGUACCUACGAACUGUGAGAUCGUGACCUGAGGCAAAAUUAGGAGUCGGAUGCUUAACCAACUGAGCCACCUAGGCACCCCCCACUCCCAAAGAUAUUCUGAUUAUUGUAACAAAAUCAGAAAAUACAUAUCAGAAAUAAUUAAAUAAAAGUAAAUAACAGUAAAAAGAAGACUCACCGUGAACCAUAUGUUGGGCUCAGUGAGUGGGAAGUCUGUUACCCCAGCACAUAGGAACUCUCUCACACACACAUCCUUCAAACACACAGAAAUGCUGGAUUAAACACUGUCCACAAUAGGUUAACUGCGUAACACCGGUAGCGAAAAGGGUGCAUAGCAGGGGGAGGCGGUCUGGCCCCAGUCCAACUGUAAGGAUGGGCCUGACUGUCUAAGCCAUUUCCCUGAGGGGGUCCCUGGAUCAGGCAUAGGCCUUCAUGCAAUGCUAGCCAUGGAGGCAUGAGAGCAAGGUGAGUUCUGCUAGAGACCUUGAGAGGUUUCCUCACUCACUAGGAGACCCAGGAAGAGGUAGUCCUCUUCUGCUCUUGUACGUGAUCACAUUUAGUUUGGCUUCUUGUAACCAUGAGGGCACCCGGCCUGAGAAAAAGCCCCACGUAGAGAGUAGUGGAACCAUGGAGAUUAUAGAAAAGUAGAGCAAGCCUUGAUCAAACUCUACCUGCAGCCACCCAGCCACCAGCUUUCCCAUGGUGGGUGGUGAUUUGUUUCCAAGUUGUUUCAGCAAAUUGAGCCAGGGCUUUCUGUUACUAGCCACCAAAAGCGUCUUAAGGAAUAGCAUCCCUAGCCUGAAAGUCAUCCAAGGAACUUGAGCUAUGAGGCCCCACCAACCCUGCCUCUCCAGAGCACCCUGGGUCCUCUGGCUACCGUGGCCACUGCUCUCCAGUCAUAUCCCUUCUGCCUAGGCUUCAGACUUCUCCACCCCAAGACUUCUGCCCACACUGAUCCAGAAAUCACCCCAUAGGGUCCCUCCCACACCUUUCCUUAGAUUCCUUCCUGGCUUUGGCACUCAUCUAGAGCCACCACCAUGGUAGAAACACUGCAGGGCUCAUCAAAAAAGGAAAAGCUGUCAUUUCUCCCCAGAGUCUAACAGAACUAUAAACCAAUCUAGUCCAUGGCCAUCCAUAGUGGGUUGAAUUGUGGGCCCCCCAAAGGUAUGUCUUUAUCCUAACCCCUGGAACCUGUGAAUGUGUCCUUGUUUGGACAGAGAGUCUUUGCAGACAUAGUUAAAUUAAGGGUCUUGAGAUCAUCCAGAAUUAGGGUAGGUCCUAAAUCCAAUGGCUAGUCUCUUUGGUUGUUGUUGUUUGGUUUGUUUUGUUUUGAUUUUGAAUGGCUAGUUUCUUUAUAAGAGAAGUGUUCUGUGUUUUCUUAGGUUCUGUAAGUCUGUUUGGCAUCUAUCAAUCACAGGGCCACACUAUUGGCCAGAGUAUUUACCUCUCUCCUGCAGGUCAGUUUGCCAGGAACUCUCCCUUCUGAUGCAGGCGGGCUACCUAAGGCUGAGCCCCCACCUACCUUCUGAUCUCUUGCACACCAGGCCGACAUUGUCCCUGCCCCCAGGUAAUCCCAGGGCCAGGUACCUGCAACUGGAGACACUCCUAUAGCCCAAAGCCUGUGGGAAUUAUUCCAAAUAGCCAGUCCUGCAGGGUUUACUCAGCCUUGCCUUGCCUUCCCCUUGCUCCUGUCUUCUGCCUCCUGACCACCACGUUUCCCGUGCGGCCCUGUGUGGCGGGGCACGCCCCUUCUCUCGGGAAGUGUAAGUAAUGAAUUCUUUCGAUGGCGUUGACCUCUCUGUGUCAUCUCUCGAUCACCUCCAUAACUCAAAAUCCCCCAGGUACAAAUGACCCAAUACGGGAGAAGGAGAAGGGAGAGCACGAGGACACAGGCAAGACGGCCAUGUGAAGACAGAGCCGUGAAUUGGAGCGAUCUGAGGAACACCAGGAACCACCAGAAGCUGCAAGAGGCAAGGAAGGUUCUACCCUAGAGCUUUCAGGGGCACGUGUUCCUGCAGACACCAUGAUUUUGGCCCUCUGGCCUCUGGAACUGCGAGAGAAUAGCUUUCUGUUGUUGCGAGGGCCCCAGUUGUGGUGAUUUGUGACAGCAGCCCAGGAAGCUAACAGAGCAGCUGACUACGAUGAGCAGUGAUUGCCUCUUGACUCAACGCACGCACAGCCACUGAGCUACUUACUCCUCCCGACGAGGCCCGUUGUAGGUAGUGUUACCCCAUUUCUCGGGUGGGAAAAGCGUGGCUCGGCCGAGGCCAGAGCGGGGUUGUGAGCCAGGCCAUCUGGCCAAGCCCCCCAAGGCUGUGCUGCUAACCACCGGACGAUCCUGUGAGCUGAGCUCGUGGAACCACCCUUCAGAGCAGCUCGGGCUGCCAUAACAGAACACCACAGACUGAGUGAACACUUCCGGAGGCUGCAAAUCCACGAUCAAGGUGUCGGCUGGGUUGGUUUCUGGCUCAACCCUGUAACCCUGUGCGAGUAUCCAAGUCCUCCACCCUCCAGGCAUGGGGGCCAGCCUUCUGGCUAGCUAGAUGCCACGGCUCUACUGUGGAUCACCGAGAGACAUGAUGGGGCAGCCCAGGGCACUGUGGGAAGGCAGGAAGCGGCCCUGACCUGAAUGUGGAUGAGCUUAGGAGCUGAGGAAUCAUUUAUUCACUCAAUAUGUAUCGGGCGCUGCCUCCUAUGACCCGGUGUGGGGAAGGCACAAGAGAAUGAGAUGGUGCGGCACAUUCUUCUGGAACUUUCAGACACAGACAAUAACCACGAAAAGAAACAAAAUCAUUCCAGACUGUGGACAGACGCUCAUGCCCCCUGAAAGGUGGACUCUUUGUUUGUGAUGCCCCACAGCACAGCGCCUCUCAGGCUUACCUUCCUCUAAAGACUUGCCUUCUGGACAUUUCGUAUGAGUGGAGUCACAGAACAUGUGGAUUUUUGUGACUGACUUCUUUCGCUUUCCAAGGCUCCUUCAAGCUACAGGAUGUAUCUCUACUUCAUUCCAUUGUACGGCCAAAUGAUAUUCCAUUAUAUGAAUGUAUCACAUUUUAUUUUUCCACGUGUCCAUUGAUGGACAUUUGGGUUGUUUCCACCUUUUGACUAUCCUGCAUACAUCCUGCUGUAAACAUUCAUGCACAAGUUUUUCUGUGGACAUAUGUUUUCAUUUCUUUUGGGUGUAUACUUAGGGGUGGAAUUGCUGGGUUAUACGGUACCUCUCUGUUUAAUCAUUUGAGGAACCAGCAAACUGUUUUCCAAAGUCACUACACCAUUUUCCAUUCCUACAGGGCUGUAUGAGAAUAUAGUUAGCUAUUAAUGCACAACAAAUCACUCCAAAGCUUAGCAGGUUAAAACAAUAAACAUUUGGGGUGCCUGGGUGGCUCAGUCCAUUAAGUGUCCAACUUCAGCUCAGGUCAUGAUCUCGCGGUGCUUGAGUUCAAGCCCCGCGUCGGGCUCUGUGCU